rnacentral:rRNA from 1 species
UACGGAGGGCGCAAGCGUUGUUCGGAAUCAUUGGGCGUAAAGCGCGUGUAGGCGGCCAUUUAAGUCGGAUGUGAAAGCCCGGGGCCCAACCCCGGAACUGCAUUCGAUACUGAGUGGCUGGAGUCCCGGAGAGGAAGGCGGAAUUCCCGGUGUAGAGGUGAAAUUCGUAGAUAUCGGGAGGAACAUCAGUGGCGCAGGCGGCCUUCUGGACGGUGACUGACGCUGAGACGCGAAAGCGUGGGGAGCAAACAGG